UUCAAUUGGGCAGAAUCGCAAUCUCUUCUAGGGUUUCAAGAUUCCUUAUUAACACUUAUUUCUAUUCUCAAUUUGAUUCUUUGCUGAUUUGGGGAUUUUAUUUCAGAUCUGAAAAUUCAAAAUCUAAUCUUUUAAUUUUCUGUUUCGUUUCAGAUCUAAUUGUUUAGGGUUUUCGUAGGAGUUUCUCGUGACUUGGCAACUCGAUCUUGGUCCGCG
rnacentral:lncRNA from 1 species